UACGUAGGGUGCGAGCGUUAAUCGGAAUUACUGGGCGUAAAGCGUGCGCAGGCGGCUUUAUAAGCCAGAUGUGAAAUCCCCGGGCUUAACCUGGGAACUGCAUUUGGAACUGUAAGGCUAGAGUGUAGCAGAGGGGGGUAGAAUUCCACGUGUAGCAGUGAAAUGCGUAGAGAUGUGGAGGAAUACCGAUGGCGAAGGCAGCCCCCUGGGCUAACACUGACGCUCAUGCACGAAAGCGUGGGGAGCAAACAGG
rnacentral:rRNA from 1 species